rnacentral:rRNA from 1 species
GGGAGGGGGGGCUAGCGUUGUUCGGAAUUACUGGGCGUAAAGCGCGCGUAGGGCGGCCGGUCAAGUUGGGGCGUGAAAGCCCGGGGGCUUAACCCCCGGAAUUGCGCUCAAGACUGACUGGCUAGAGACCGGAAGAGGAGAGUGGAAUACCCAGUGUAGAGGUGAAAUUCGUAGAUAUUGGGCAGAACACCAGUGGCGAAGGCGGCUCUCUGGUCCGGUACUGACGCUGAGGCGCGAAAGCGUGGGGAGCAAACAGGAUUAGAUACCCUGGUAGUCCACGCCGUAAACGAUGAGUGCUAGACGUCGGGGGGCAUGCCCUUCGGUGUCGCAGCUAACGCAUUAAGCACUCCGCCUGGGGAGUACGGCCGCAAGGUUA